CCUGAAAAGGAAGUGUAAGCCAUUGUGUUAGUAAUUCCCAGAUUUCCUGCACCCAGACAUUUUCCUAGGAGCUGGUCUCAGUCCCAUAUCCGCAUUUCUCAUCCAUGGAUGUCCACUCAGAUUAGGUUUCAUCCUGGACCAGUCAUUCUAAAUAAAUACAGCGUGUGCUAGAUGGAACCCCUUGUUUCUACCCCACAGUCUAUUUCCCAGCUCUCCCUGAGGCUGAGAGAAGUUGAAGUCCUGCCAGACAAUGCAGUGUGA